CUUCCGGAAAUAAUUAAAUGCAUAGGGGACCAUCCUUUUGUUGUGUUGCGGCAUGCUCCUAAGAUUUACGGAUUAGCAGGGGGCCUCAGGCCCUACUUAGUUGACUGACAAUGACAAAGGCUUGCGAAACUGAGUAGGGCCUUUUGAAUUGAAUCUUAAGUAGUCUAUCAGCGGUGCAAAGCGGCUUUGUGCCCCUUUUCAGUAGGGGAGCGAAAGGUUAGACCUUAGAAAGUCAGCGAACUGCGGUUCUUCUAUGUAGGUAUGGCCUUCCCCCUUGACUCUCCUAACGUCGAGCUAAGUGACUUCGUAACCUUUGCGUAGCGUAGUAGAAUGAAGGCUACACACUGACGCUCUCUUAUCUAUUAGCCUAAGCGUCUUCGCUAACUCGCUCGCCUACUAUACCCUACUAUACAAUACAUUAGUAGGCUAACCCAUAGGUCCUUAGUUGCGUU
rnacentral:lncRNA from 1 species